rnacentral:rRNA from 1 species
CUCAGAUUAAACGCUGGCGGCAGGCCUAACACAUGCAAGUCGAGCGGUAGCACAAGAGAGCUUGCUCUCUGGGUGACGAGCGGCGGACGGGUGAGUAAUGUUUGGGAAACUGCCUGAUGGUGGGGGAUAACUAGUGGAAACGGUAGCUAAUACCGCAUAAUGUCGCAAGACCAAAGUGGGGGACCUUCGGGCCUCACGCCAUCAGAUGUGCCCAGAUGGGAUUAGCUGUUAGGUGGGGUAAUGGCUCACCUAGGCGACGAUCCCUAGCUGGUCUGAGAGGAUGACCAGCCACACUGGAACUGAGACACGGUCCAGACUCCUACGGGAGGCAGCAGUGGGGAAUAUUGCACAAUGGGCGCAAGCCUGAUGCAGCCAUGCCGCGUGUGUGAAGAAGGCCUUCGGGUUGUAAAGCACUUUCACGAGGAGGAAGGGUAAUGUG